rnacentral:piRNA from 1 species
UUGAUUGAAAAAGGCUUCGGACAAAGU